GGUAACUACAAAUAUGGCAGCGCUUUUUGCAACACGUUGCUUAUUUAGAAGCUAUUCUCGGGUCAGAAAUGUCGAUCAAAAUACACGAGUACUUGUCAGAUGUAGCAGAAGGAUGCUGUGCAGUGCACCGUCUGACAGCAAUCGAUGUGCCUCGCAGAGGCACUAUGCAAUGCACCCUGGACUGAAGAGGCAGACAAGUAUGAGAGUUGUGGUGGUCCCACCUGUUAAAUUACACAUUUCUCAAGGUUCUCCAGAUGCCCAUGUGAAGCCCCAGUUUUUGGAUGCAGAGGUGC